rnacentral:rRNA from 1 species
CCUACGGGCGGCUGCAGUGGGGAAUAUUGGACAAUGGGGGCAACCCUGAUCCAGCCAUGCCGCGUGUGUGAAGAAGGCCCUCGGGUUGUAAAGCACUUUCAGUGAGGAAGAACGCCUGGUGGUUAAUACCCAUCAGGAAAGACAUCACUCACAGAAGAAGCACCGGCUAACUCCGUGCCAGCAGCCGCGGUAAUACGGAGGGUGCGAGCGUUAAUCGGAAUUACUGGGCGUAAAGCGCGCGUAGGUGGCUUGAUAAGCCGGUUGUGAAAGCCCCGGGCUCAACCUGGGAACGGCAUCCGGAACUGUCAAGCUAGAGUGCAGGAGAGGAAGGUAGAAUUCCCGGUGUAGCGGUGAAAUGCGUAGAGAUCGGGAGGAAUACCAGUGGCGAAGGCGGCCUUCUGGCCUGACACUGACACUGAGGUGCGAAAGCGUGGGUAGCAAACAGGAUUAGAUACCCCUGUAGUC